rnacentral:rRNA from 1 species
AGAGUUUGAUCCUGGCUCAGGAUGAACGCUGGCGGCGCGCCUAACACAUGCAAGUCGAACGGCACCUGCCCUCGGGCAGAAGCGAGUGGCGAACGGCUGAGUAACACGUGGAGAACCUGCCCCCUCCCCCGGGAUAGCCGCCCGAAAGGACGGGUAAUACCGGAUACCCCGGGGUGCCGCAUGGCACCCCGGCUAAAGCCCCGACGGGAGGGGAUGGCUCCGCGGCCCAUCAGGUAGACGGCGGGGUGACGGCCCACCGUGCCGACAACGGGUAGCCGGGUUGAGAGACCGACCGGCCAGAUUGGGACUGAGACACGGCCCAGACUCCUACGGGAGGCAGCAGUGGGGAAUCUUGCGCAAUGGGGGGAACCCUGACGCAGCGACGCCGCGUGCGGGACGGAGGCCUUCGGGUCGUAAACCGCUUUCAGCAGGGAAGAGUCAAGACUGUACCUGCAGAAGAAGCCCCGGCUAACUACGUGCCAGCAGCCGCGGU